rnacentral:rRNA from 1 species
UACGUAGGGGGCAAGCGUUGUCCGGAAUCAUUGGGCGUAAAGAGCGUGUAGGCGGCCUGAUAAGUCGGUUGUGAAAGUCAAGGGCUCAACCCCUUGAAUGCCGACCGAUACUGUCAGGCUAGAGUCCGGAAGAGGCGAGUGGAAUCCUGGUGUAGCGGUGAAAUGCGCAGAUAUCAGGAGGAACACCAAUGGCGAAGGCAGCUCGCUGGGACGGUACUGACGCUGAGACGCGAAAGCGUGGGGGAGCGAACAGG